AACGAACGCUGGCGGCAUGCCUAACACAUGCAAGUCGAACGAGACCUUCGGGUCUAGUGGCGCACGGGUGCGUAACGCGUGGGAACCUGCCCUUAGGUUCGGAAUAACUCCCCGAAAGGGGUGCUAAUACCGGAUAAUGUCUUCGGACCAAAGAUUUAUCGCCUUUGGAUGGGCCCGCGUUGGAUUAGCUAGUUGGUAGGGUAAAGCCUACCAAGGCGACGAUCCAUAGCUGGUCUGAGAGGAUGAUCAGCCACACUGGGACUGAGACACGGCCCAGACUCCUACGGGAGGCAGCAGUGGGGAAUAUUGGGCAAUGGGCGAAAGCCUGAUCCAGCAAUGCCGCGUGAGUGAUGAAGGCCUUAGGGUUGUAAAGCUCUUUUACCCGGGAUGAUAAUGACAGUACCGGGAGAAUAAGCGCCGGCUAACUCCGUG
rnacentral:rRNA from 1 species